GAUGAAGAACGCAGCGAAAUGCGAUAAGUAAUGUGAAUUGCAGAAUUCAGUGUAUCAUCGAGUCUUUGAACGCACAUUGCGCCCCCUGGUAUUCCGGGGGGCAUGCCUGUCCGAGCGUCAUUGCUGCCCUCAAGCACGGCUUGUGUGUUGGGCCCCCGCCCCCCGGCUUCGGGGGGCGGGCCCGAAAGGCAGCGGCGGCACCGCGUCCGGUCCUCGAGCGUAUGGGGCUUCGUCACCCGCUCUGUAGGCCCGGCCGGCGCCCGCCGGCGACCCCAAUCAAUCUUUCCAGGUUGACCUCGGAUCAGGUAGGGAUACCCGCUGAACUUAAGCAUAUCAAUAAGCGGAGGA
rnacentral:misc_RNA from 1 species